rnacentral:misc_RNA from 1 species
GGCAGCAAUUGCUCAUUCCCUUAUUUUUCAUUCAAAGAGAUAUUUAUAGCUAGAUUCAUGCAAUAGAAAUGAGACCACUCGAUGAAUUAACAAUGUCAAAUGACUGGGGGUGGAACGUGAAGCAAUGAUGCAUUAAUUUACAAAGGGAAGUAAAAACAGAGGCUAGGAAAUACUUCAUUUCCUGCCCAAUAAGUUCAUACUGUAAAGCUAAAAACAUCACCAUCAUGUACAGAUAUAACAGUUGAGAGGAUUGAUGACCAACUGCUAUGGAUCUGCUUGGCCCGCCAUCUCCUCAUCUUGAGACUCGUAUUCGUCCUCACUUAGCUCCUCAUCGCUAGAUUUGUCCUCUGGGGCAGCCCCUAUGUCUUCUGGCUUGGCAUAUUUCUCACAGUAUUCUGGUCGUCAAUAAGCCAGUAAAAGCAGGGUAUUGAUAUAUUGGCAUAAAUUACUAUUACCUAAUUAACUGCCCUCGUUUACACACUGCGUAAUUGUGAGCAAGCAAUAGGCACAGAAUCAUAUAGGUUUCAUACAACCCUUGAUUAAAGAUAGCAACAAACAGUUCUUCAACACUUCAUAUGAGAAGCAUGCUAGGCAAUCACGAGAAAUCAACAUUUGUGAGCAGACUAGGCCCUUCCAGCCUCCUAGCAGGGGUCUAUGUUUGGUAAUGACGGUGUUGCUAUUUUUCAGUUGCACGGUGAAAAAUUAAGGGUAAAUUGAGUGAUAAUUAAGUGUUUCCUACAUAUUUCCUUAUGCUAUAACACCUAGCAUAGCUAAACCAAAGUUUUCUCUCUUGUAAACGAAAGUUUAGCUCUGUGAUUAAUUCAGUGUUCCCUUCAUAUUUCUUUAAGGAGGAAUGCCUAAUCAAACAUACAGAACACGGAAAAAAGUACUGCUACCUUUAACUUUCUGUUCAUAAGCAGACCGGUCACGCAUCAUCAAAGCCGCUGCCUCUCCAUUCAAUGGGUCUGAGGGGUUAGGAUACAAAAGAAGCUGUGGUAGAAAUACCUCAAAUACAUUUACCAGAUCAAACAUGGGACUCCAAGUCUGAUUGAUAACGUCCAAACAAACUGAGCCAGACAUUUCAUCAACAUUUGGGUGAUAGAUCUUGUUAACAAAGCCUAUCGAGGGAGAUUUGUAUGGAUAAGCAUCUGGAAGCUCAACUCUUAUCCUCCACACACCUCCAUGAUAAGGACCUGCCAUAAUCCAUCCAUAAUGAUAAGGUACAUAAGAAAAGGCAGGUUUGACAGGAAAAGCUUUGAGGUCAGAGUUGCUCCAAAUUGGGCUAAAAAGUUCACAGUAGUGCAUUAUGAAAAACAAGAACUGCCUAAAUCAAGCUUUUUUCUAAGAUCAAAAAGUAUACAACUAUCUAGAAUAUGAGAGAUUCUAUAAAAUCAAAAUAGCAAGAAAAAUACUUAGGUUAUUAAUAACUAUAGUCUCACCAAUCACAACAUCAAUAUUAUAUCUCCACUCUCCUCACCAAUAACUGUAGAUUGUUAAAAUGACUAAAUCAAGAAAAUCAAUCACCUUGCUUAGCUCAAAGCUUCCCCAUUUAAAAAGAAACUAAAAUCUGAAAAGGGAAAAGAAAAUAAAUGAUAUGAGAAAUGAAGAUUUACUGUCAAUGGGUCCAUGGAAAUGAACAUAGAACUCUUGCACGUCAUCACCGAUAAUAUCAACUUUAUAGUCGCUCAUCAUCCUAUAUCAAAACCCAGAAUAAGAAAAAAAAAAUAGCAAUAAUAAGAAGAGGGAUAAAAGAAUAAGAAAAAACGAUGAUAUUGAAGAAAUUAAUUAGAGGAUUAACAAUUUCAUCAAGUCCAUAUCCCUGCGUUUGCUUGGGGACGACAUGGUUUCCUUCUUUCAAGUUCUAUGGCUUCAAAGAGAAGAGUUUCGAGAGAGAAAAAGAGAGCAAAUGGAGUUUGCUUGUCCAACUGAGAGAAGCAACCAACAACAGUAAUAAAACUGGCAACGCA